GCCACAUCCCGGAUGCGCCCAGAAGCCAGCGCACAGCAAGGAGGGGGUCUCCACGUCCUCUUCUCCCAGGCAUAACAAGCUCUGCCCGCGGCAGUAAGCCCAAACGGUGCACCGCGCUCCUCGUUUGUGAUUUUUUUCCCUUCCUCCUCCAUCCCGGCCACUCCAGCCCCGUCCCCCGCUCCGGACGGCGCCGGCUGCUGCUUCCCUUGCAGCCCCGCAGGCUCCGCGGCGAUGCCCAGGAUGUGACCUCAGCUAGACCAAAGGGUGCCUGAAGGAUGGUCGCCCUCCAGGAACAGCACUGGUUUUAUCUCGAAUACGUGAAUAUCACACAAAAAA
rnacentral:lncRNA from 12 species